rnacentral:rRNA from 1 species
GAUGAACGCUGGCGGCGUGCCUAACACAUGCAAGUCGAGCGAUUCUCUUCGGAGAAGAGCGGCGGACGGGUGAGUAACGCGUGGGUAACCUGCCCUGUACACACGGAUAACAUACCGAAAGGUAUGCUAAUACGGGAUAACAUAAGAAAUUCGCAUGUUUUUCUUAUCAAAGCUCCGGCGGUACAGGAUGGACCCGCGUCUGAUUAGCUAGUUGGUGAGGUAACGGCUCACCAAGGCAACGAUCAGUAGCCGACCUGAGAGGGUGAUCGGCCACAUUGGAACUGAGACACGGUCCAAACUCCUACGGGAGGCAGCAGUGGGGAAUAUUGCACAAUGGGCGAAAGCCUGAUGCAGCAACGCCGCGUGAGCGAUGAAGGCCUUCGGGUCGUAAAGCUCUGUCCUUAAGGAAGAUAAUGACGGUACUUGAGGAGGAAGCCCCGGCUAACUACGUGCCAGCCGCCGCGGUAAGAC